rnacentral:tRNA from 1 species
AUUUAUAUAGUUUAAUAAAAACAUUACAUUUUCACUGUAAAAAUAAAGAAUUAAUCUUUUAUAGAUU